UACGAAGGGGGCUAGCGUUGUUCGGAAUCACUGGGCGUAAAGCGCGUGUAGGCGGCCUACUAAGUCUGAUGUGAAAGCCCGGGGCUCCACCCCCGGAAGUGCAUUGGAUACGUGGCAGGCUCGAGUCCCGGAGAGGAGGGUGGAAUUCCUGGUGUAGCGGUGAAAUGCGCAGAUAUCAGGAAGAACACCCGUGGCGAAGGCGGUUCUCUGGGACGGUACUGACGCUGAGACGCGAAAGCGUGGGGAGCGAACAGG
rnacentral:rRNA from 1 species